GACGAACCACACGAACGUUAUUCGGAAUCACUGGGCUUAAAGGGUGCGUAGGCGGCGCGGAAAGUCGGGUGUGAAAUCCCUCGGCUCAACCGAGGAAUAGCGCCCUAAACUACCGUGCUCGAGGGAGAUAGAGGUGAGCGGAACUUAGGGUGGAGCGGUGAAAUGCGUUGAUAUCCUAAGGAACACCGGUGGCGAAAGCGGCUCACUGGAUCUCUUCUGACGCUGAGGCACGAAAGCUAGGGUAGCGAACGGG
rnacentral:rRNA from 1 species